rnacentral:rRNA from 1 species
AAAUUGAAGAGUUUGAUCAUGGCUCAGAUUGAACGCUGGCGGCAGGCCUAACACAUGCAAGUCGAACGGUAACAGAAAGCAGCUUGCUGCUUUGCUGACGAGUGGCGGACGGGUGAGUAACGUCUGGGAAACUGCCUGAUGGAGGGGGAUAACUACUGGAAACGGUAGCUAAUACCGCAUAACGUCGCAAGACCAAAGAGGGGGACCUUCGGGCCUCUUGCCAUCGGAUGUGCCCAGAUGGGAUUAGCUAGUAGGUGGGGUAACGGCUCACCUAGGCGACGAUCCCUAGCUGGUCUGAGAGGAUGACCAGCCACACUGGAACUGAGACACGGUCCAGACUCCUACGGGAGGCAGCAGUGGGGAAUAUUGCACAAUGGGCGCAAGCCUGAUGCAGCCAUGCCGCGUGUAUGAAGAAGGCCUUCGGGUUGUAAAGUACUUUCAGCGGGGAGGAAGGGAGUAAAGUUAAUACCUUUGCUCAUUGACGUUACCCGCAGAAGAAGCACCGGCUAACUCCGUGCCAGCAGCCGCGGUAAUACGGAGGGUGCAAGCGUUAAUCGGAAUUACUGGGCGUAAAGCGCACGCAGGCGGUUUGUUAAGUCAGAUGUGAAAUCCCCGGGCUCAACCUGGGAACUGCAUCUGAUACUGGCAAGCUUGAGUCUCGUAGAGGGGGGUAGAAUUCCAGGUGUAGCGGUGAAAUGCGUAGAGAUCUGGAGGAAUACCGGUGGCGAAGGCGGCCCCCUGGACGAAGACUGACGCUCAGGUGCGAAAGCGUGGGGAGCAAACAGGAUUAGAUACCCUGGUAGUCCACGCCGUAAACGAUGUCGACUUGGAGGUUGUGCCCUUGAGGCGUGGCUUCCGGAGCUAACGCGUUAAGUCGACCGCCUGGGGAGUACGGCCGCAAGGUUAAAACUCAAAUGAAUUGACGGGGGCCCGCACAAGCGGUGGAGCAUGUGGUUUAAUUCGAUGCAACGCGAAGAACCUUACCUGGUCUUGACAUCCACGGAAGUUUUCAGAGAUGAGAAUGUGCCUUCGGGAACCGUGAGACAGGUGCUGCAUGGCUGUCGUCAGCUCGUGUUGUGAAAUGUUGGGUUAAGUCCCGCAACGAGCGCAACCCUUAUCCUUUGUUGCCAGCGGUCCGGCCGGGAACUCAAAGGAGACUGCCAGUGAUAAACUGGAGGAAGGUGGGGAUGACGUCAAGUCAUCAUGGCCCUUACGACCAGGGCUACACACGUGCUACAAUGGCGCAUACAAAGAGAAGCGACCUCGCGAGAGCAAGCGGACCUCAUAAAGUGCGUCGUAGUCCGGAUUGGAGUCUGCAACUCGACUCCAUGAAGUCGGAAUCGCUAGUAAUCGUGGAUCAGAAUGCCACGGUGAAUACGUUCCCGGGCCUUGUACACACCGCCCGUCACACCAUGGGAGUGGGUUGCAAAAGAAGUAGGUAGCUUAACCUUCGGGAGGGCGCUUACCACUUUGUGAUUCAUGACUGGGGUGAAGUCGUAACAAGGUAACCGUAGGGGAACCUGCGGUUGGAUCACCUCCUUA